rnacentral:rRNA from 1 species
GUAGGUGGCAAGCGUUGUCCGGAAUUAUUGGGCGUAAAGCGCGCGCAGGCGGUUCUUUAAGUCUGAUGUGAAAGCCCACGGCUCAACCGUGGAGGGUCAUUGGAAACUGGAGAACCUGAGUACAGAAGAGGAAAGCGGAAUUCCACGUGUAGCGGUGAAAUGCGUAGAGAUGUGGAGGAACACCAGUGGCGAAGGCGGCUUUCUGGUCUGUAACUGACGCUGAGGCGCGAAAGCGUGGGGAGCAAACAGGAUUAGAUACCCUGGUAGUCCACGCCGUAAACGAUGAGUGCUAAGUGUUAGGGGGGUUUUCCGCCCCCCUUAGUGCUGCAGCUAACGCAUUAAGCACUCCGCCUGGGAGUACGGCCGCAAGGCUG